AGCUCCAAUAGCGUAUAUUUAAGUUGUUGCAGUUAAAAAGCUCGUAGUUGGAUUUUGGGUUAGGGUGUCCGGUCCGCCGUUUCGGUGUGCACUGGGCGCUCUUUCCUUUCUGCCGGGGACCGUUGGGUGUCUUAAUUGCCAUCCCUCGGGAGUCGGCGUUGUUACUUUGAAAAAAUUAGAGUGUUCAAAGCAAGCCAUCGCUCUGAAUACAUUAGCAUGGAAUAACAUGAUAGGACUCCGCUCUUAUUUUGUUGGUUUCCGAGACUGGAGUAAUGAUUAAGAGGGACAGUCGGGGGCAUCCGUAUUUCAUUGUCAGAGGUGAAAUUCUUGGAUUUAUGAAAGACGAACUUCUGCGAAAGCAUUUGCCAAGGAUGUUUUCAUUAAUCAAGAACGAAAGUAG
rnacentral:rRNA from 1 species